rnacentral:rRNA from 1 species
CACCGCCUGUCGGUGCCAACUGGCGUUUUGCGGGACGUCCUGUCGGUGGUGUGUCAGGAAUCUUAGUUGUGCUAAGCUUUGCUCAGUGCAGCUCUGGUUUCGGGCCACUUUCAUAAUCCCGCCGCGGUGCUCUUAAUCGAGUGUCGAGGCGGGCCGGCACGUUUACUUUGAACAAAUUAGAGUGCUUCAAGCAGGCUUGUCACGCCUGUAUACUGUGUGCAUGGAAUAAUGGAAUAGGACCUCGGUUCUAUUUUGUUGGUUUCCGGAAUCUGAGGUAAUGAUCAAUGGGGACAGGCGGGGGCAUUCGUAUUGCGACGUUAGAGGUGAAAUUCUUGGAUCGUCGCAAGACGGACCGAAGCGAAAGCAUUUGCCAAGUAUGUUCCCGUCGAUCAAGAACGAAAGUUAGAGGUUCGAAGGCGAUCAGAUACCGCCCUAGUUCUAACCAUAAACAAUGCCUGCCAGCGAUCCGCCGGCGUCCCUCCGAUGACCCGGCGGGCAGCUUCCGGGAAACCAGAGCUUUUGGGUUCCGGGGGAAGUAUGGUUGCAAAGCUGAAACUUAAAGGAAUUGACGGAAGGGCACCACCAGGAGUGGAGCCUGCGGCUUAAUUUGACUCAACACGGGAAAACUCACCAGGCCCGGACACCGGAAGGAUUGACAGAUUGAUAGCUCUUUCUUGAUUCGGUGGGUGGUGGUGCAUGGCCGUUCUUAGUUGGUGGAGCGAUUUGUCUGGUUAAUUCCGAUAACGAACGAGACUCUAGCCUACUAACUAGACGUAUCUGGUAUCAGCAAUCGUGCUACCAGCGAUCAUAUCUCUUCUUAGAGGGACAGGCGGCUUCUAGCCGCACGAGACUGAGCAAUAACAGGUCUGUGAUGCCCUUAGAUGUCCUGGGCCGCACGCGCGCUACACUGAAGGAAUCAGCGUGUCUUCCCUGUCCGAAAGGACCGGGUAACCCGCUGAACCUCCUUCGUGCUUGGGAUUGGGGCUUGCAAUUGUUCCCCAUGAACGAGGAAUUCCCAGUAAGCGCGAGUCAUAAGCUCGCGUUGAUUACGUCCCUGCCCUUUGUACACACCGCCCGUCGCUACUACCGAUUGAAUGAUUUAGUGAGGUCUUCGGACCGGUGCGCGGAGGCGGUUUACCGCUCCCGAUGUUGUCGGAAAGAUGACCAAACUUGAUCAUU